rnacentral:rRNA from 1 species
UACCUGGACCCCGAGUGGUCGGGACGUUUAUUGGGCCUAAAGCAUCCGUAGCCGGUUCUCCAAGUCUUCCGUUAAAUCCAACUGCUUAACAGGUGGGCUGCGGAAGAUACUAUAGAGCUAGGAGGCGGGAGAGGCAAGCGGUACUCGAUGGGUAGGGGUAAAAUCCGUUGAUCCAUUGAAGACCACCAGUGGCGAAGGCGGCUUGCCAGAACGCGCUCGACGGUGAGGGAUGAAAGCUGGGGGAGCAAACCGG